GAAUAUUGGUCAAUGGGUGCAAGCCUGAACCAGCCAUGCCGCGUGCAGGAAGAAGGCGUUAUGCGUUGUAAACUGCUUUUGCCAGGGGCUAAAAUUUCCUUGCGAGGAACAUUGAAGGUACCUGGUGAAUAAGCCACGGCUACCUACGUGCCAGCAGCCGCGGUAAUACGUAGGUGGCAAGCGUUGUCCGGAUUUAUUGGGUUUAAAGGGUGCGUAGGCGGCCCUGUAAGUCAGUGGUGAAAUACUCCAGCUUAACUGGAGGGGUGCCAUUGAUACUGCAGGGCUUGAGUGGAGUCGAAGUAGGCGGAAUUGACGGUGUAGCGGUGAAAUGCUUAGAUAUCGUCAAGAACACCGAUAGUGAAGACAGCUUACUAGGCUUCUACUGACGCUGAGGCACGAAAGUGUGGGGAUCAAACAGG
rnacentral:rRNA from 1 species